AACGAACGCUGGCGGCAGGCUUAACACAUGCAAGUCGAACGCACCUUUCGGGGUGAGUGGCAGACGGGUGAGUAACGCGUGGGAAUCUACCCUUCUCUACGGGAUAGCUCCGGGAAACUGGAAUUAAUACCGUAUACGUCCUGAGGGAGAAAGAUUUAUCGGGGAAGGAUGAGCCCGCGUUGGAUUAGCUAGUUGGUGGGGUAAAGGCCUACCAAGGCGACGAUCCAUAGCUGGUCUAAGAGGAUGAUCAGCCACAUUGGGACUGAGGCACGGCCCAAACUCCUACGGGAGGCAGCAGUGGGGAAUAUUGGACAAUGGGCGCAAGCCUGAUCCAGCCAUGCCGCGUGAGUGAUGAAGGCCCUAGGGUUGUAAAGCUCUUUCAGUGGGGACGAUAAUGACGGUACCCACAGAAGAAGCCCCGGCUAACUUCGUG
rnacentral:rRNA from 1 species